UCCUUAAACCUCUGUCGACGUCGAAACAUUCUUUGGGACAAGUAAGGAUAGCAGACUCACCAGUUCAGUGACGUAACGAAACUGCCGGAACAAAACCACCAAAAUGUCGAAAAAACCGAAACGAAAACAAUUACGGAAAAAUUGGCGUCAGUGUAAGAUGUAUUUUAAGCUAACGAGUUUUGCUAUUUAACACCAAUAAAUACGAAUUAUUCUUGCCGGGAAACAUAUUUAGCAGCAACUAUGCCAAGGGCACAGACUAACUAUACAGAGGUCUCACUUCGCGAGUUUUUACGGUAGUUUUUACUGCGCAUAUCUGGCGGCCAUGUUUAGCAAACUUCAUUUCUUUGCAUCAGUUUCUUGGGUUUUUUUGCUGUUAUAUUUCAAUAAUUUACGACCUUUUAGUGGUUUUGGUCGUUCAGUUCGUUUUGGUCGUUUCGUUACUUUGCUACAAGGCUUGACUUGGACUAGGCUAAUGAUCGCAGAGUGUGGCAAGAUUUUCUGGCCUAGGCAGGGUCAAAGUUUGUUUACACUACAAAAUUGUGGGUCAAAACACAGUCAAUAGCUGUGGUCAAAACAAGGCCAAGGUUUAGCUUUAGUGAAAUAUUGAGAGUUCGAAUUCGGUUAUCGUCAUAAUUGGCCCCUUUGUUGCAGCAAAUGCCAAUUUUCAUUGACUCAAAUUUUCGCAAUGAUUUUGGCUCAAAUUGCAUCCAAAUUUUCCUAAGUACAGUAGCUUAUCAUCAGGCUUUUAGCCAGGGCCC